AUACUUACCUGGAAAGGGAGAUACCUCAGUCACAAAGGUGGUUUUCUCAGGGCGAGCUGGCCUGUCCAUUGCAUUCCAGGUGUGCUGACCCUGAGAUGUCCCCAAAUGCAGGAAACUCAACUCUGUAAUUUGUGUAGCAGGGGACUACAUUUGUACUCUUCCCUG
ensembl:snRNA U1 U1 spliceosomal RNA